rnacentral:rRNA from 1 species
GACGAACGCUGGCGGCGUGCUUAACACAUGCAAGUCGAACGGAAAGGCCCCUUUGGGGGUACUCGAGUGGCGAACGGGUGAGUAACACGUGAGUAACCUGCCCUUGACUUCGGGAUAACUUCAGGAAACUGGGGCUAAUACCGGAUAGGAAUCCUUGCUGCAUGGUGGGGGUUGGAAAGCUUCGGCGGUUUUGGAUGGACUCGCGGCGUAUCAGCUUGUUGGUGGGGUAGUGGCUUACCAAGGCUUUGACGGGUAGCCGGCCUGAGAGGGCGACCGGCCACAUUGGGACUGAGAUACGGCCCAGACUCCUACGGGAGGCAGCAGUGGGGAAUAUUGCACAAUGGGCGGAAGCCUGAUGCAGCAACGCCGCGGGCGGGAGGACGGCCUUCGGGUUGUAAACCGCUUUCAGCAGGGGCGAAGCUUGUGGUGACGGUACCUGCAGAAGAAGCACCGGCUAACUACGUG